rnacentral:lncRNA from 1 species
GCUGAUGGUAUUAGCUGUUGGACACAAAGUAAUUAAGUAAUGCGGUAGAGACAGUAUUGAUUGAAGAUAAUAUAACAUCAGAAAACCCGUCAGUUUCCAGGAAAUGUGAAAUAUUGUUCGAAGCAAGCACACAACAGUUUCUUACUUAUCGACAAAUGUAAACAUAUAUCAUUGACAUCCACUGUACAUUUUGCGUAAUGACAAACGUAAACGUCUGAGUGAAUGCCCAAACGCACAGAAGGGUAUUUGAAAUAUAGGAGGUAACGUUGGUUACAGAAAACUCGGAUCAUUUGGGCUAUCAUAUUAGGAUGGAAGUCACACAUCUUGGAGAUUUGCAAUCAGUGAACACUGUUUUGAGUGGAAGUAGCAAAAUGCAACUUUGUUAACAUGUGGAUUGUCAUUUUCAGUGACAAGAGUUUAAAAAAUGAAAGAAAUUAAGAAUCUAUUAGAGAAAAGUGAAAACAUCCCUGCAUGGAAUUUAUCAGUUUAAAUGAUUAUGAUUCAUUACUUGAAGAUAGUGGUCUAUCAGAUACUGUAGUACCAAAUGAUGUACAGCCAAAUACUACUGCACUGUACAACUGAGGACUGUGACAGUGUAAUGAAGCAGAACAUUAAGUGAAUUUAAUAAAAAAGGCAUGUAAAGGGUGUGGUCCAGAUUGUGAUACAAUCUGAGCUUUCAGUAGUUAGCAAAGGAUAAUGGUGAAUUUGAUGUCAUUCUAAUUACUUACACACUGAUGAGCCAAAACAUUACAACUAUUGUGAGAUAGAAUGCUGCAUGGUGGUGGUGAUAGUGGUGGUGGUCGUUGUGGUGUGGGCAUGUGAUGUAAGGAAAGUAAACAGUGUGGUCGGAAGUUCCCAUUACAAACUUCCAGGACACAUAGAGGGUAGAGAGUACAGAACAUUUUGAAUAGUAACCCAUGUCCAGAAUCGUAUCGUUUCCGUUCUACGACAGUUUCAAUUCAGAUGUCUCAAAAGUUCCCUGUCCUGGUAUGCAACAGGGUAGACACAACGAUGUGUACUACAUCAAACGAUCCUCAGAUGUCCUUUAUUGUCCACUUUGCUGUGAGACCGAGUCAAUACCUGUGCAUCACUGACAGAGGAAACAUGGUGCAGUACACGUUUGCGGAAUACACAGACACGCUCCUUGUGUAUAGCGAAGUUGGGGGUUACGGAAGAGCUGCUAGUUGAACGUUUUCCACACUGUCACACUCCAUCACACAAACUGUUUGCCCAAGUUACACAACGGCUAUGAGAAACAGGUACCUUCACUGUGAGGAGGCAGGACUGUGGUGCUCCACGGCGACGCUGCACUCCCGAAUUUGAAGAAGGUGUACUGUGUUGCAUUGAAGAUAGCCCGUCAACGAUUUCGCGCACAAUUGAACAAUUGCUGUUUUGUCUAAAACUGACAUGGUGAGACCGUGGCUGUAUACAAUUAAUGUAGGUCAGUUCUUACAAAGAAGAAAACAGCAACCAGCCACUAUUAACACUGCUAUUGAUUUAGGUAAAUAGCGCUGUUACUGGUUUCAAACUGGCAAUUUCAUCAUCAGAUGGCUGUUCACAUGAUUUUAAAGAUACACCUUACAUUAUCGUCCAUUUUUAAUUUUUAUUAUUCCACUUUGGCGAAGUAUUUUUGAUGUGUUGUUGCCCUACGGUAGAGAAAC